GCUGAACGCUGGCGGCGUGCUUAACACAUGCAAGUCGAACGAAGCAAUUUCUUACGAUCCCUUCGGGGUGACGAGUUAUUGACUGAGUGGCGGACGGGUGAGUAACGCGUGGGUAACCUGCCUUGUACAGGGGGACAACAGUUGGAAACGACUGCUAAUACCGCAUAAGCGCACAGCAUCGCAUGAUGCAGUGCGAAAAGUUUUUUCGGUACAAGAUGGACCCGCGUCUGAUUAGCUAGUUGGUGAGGUAACGGCCCACCAAGGCGACGAUCAGUAGCCGACCUGAGAGGGUGACCGGCCACAUUGGGACUGAGACACGGCCCAAACUCCUACGGGAGGCAGCAGUGGGGAAUAUUGCACAAUGGGCGCAAGCCUGAUGCAGCGACGCCGCGUGAGCGAAGAAGUAUUUCGGUAUGUAAAGCUCUAUCAGCAGGGAAGAUAAUGACGGUACCUGACUAAGAAGCACCGGCUAAAUACGUGCCAGCAGCCGCGGUAAUACGUAUGGUGCAAGCGUUAUCCGGAUUUACUGGGUGUAAAGGGAGCGUAGGCGGUUUUACAAGUCUGAUGUGAAAGCCCGGGGCUCAACUCCGGUAUUGCAUUGGAAACUGUAGAACUAGAGUGUCGGAGGGGUAAGUGGAAUUCCUAGUGUAGCGGUGAAAUGCGUAGAUAUUAGGAGGAACACCAGUGGCGAAGGCGGCUUACUGGACGAUUACUGACGCUGAGGCUCGAAAGCGUGGGGAGCAAACA
rnacentral:rRNA from 1 species